CUAUACAUGCAGUCGAACGCACUCUCGUUUAGAUUGAAGGAGCUUGCUCCUGAUUGAUAAACAUUUGAGUGAGUGGCGGACGGGUGAGUAACACGUGGGUAACCUGCCCUAAAGUGGGGGAUAACAUUUGGAAACAGAUGCUAAUACCGCAUAAAACCUAACACCGCAUGGUGUAGGGUUGAAAGAUGGUUUCGGCUAUCACUUUAGGAUGGACCCGCGGUGCAUUAGUUAGUUGGUGAGGUAAAGGCUCACCAAGACCGUGAUGCAUAGCCGACCUGAGAGGGUAAUCGGCCACACUGGGACUGAGACACGGCCCAGACUCCUACGGGAGGCAGCAGUAGGGAAUCUUCCACAAUGGACGAAAGUCUGAUGGAGCAACGCCGCGUGAGUGAAGAAGGUUUUCGGAUCGUAAAACUCUGUUGUUGGAGAAGAAUGUAUCUGAUAGUAACUGAUCAGGUAGUGACGGUAUCCAACCAGAAAGCCACGGCUAACUACGUGCCAGCAGCCGCGGUAAUACGUAGGUGGCAAGCGUUGUCCGGAUUUAUUGGGCGUAAAGCGAGCGCAGGCGGUUUCUUAAGUCUGAUGUGAAAGCCUUCGGCUCAACCGAAGAAGUGCAUCGGAAACUGGGAAACUUGAGUGCAGAAGAGGACAGUGGAACUCCAUGUGUAGCGGUGAAAUGCGUAGAUAUAUGGAAGAACACCAGUGGCGAAGGCGGCUGUCUGGUCUGUAACUGACGCUGAGGCUCGAAAGCAUGGGUAGCAAACAGGAUUAGAUACCCUGGUAGUCCAUGCCGUAAACGAUGAGUGCUAGGUGUUGGAGGGUUUCCGCCCUUCAGUGCCGCAGCUAACGCAUUAAGCACUCCGCCUGGGGAGUACGACCGCAAGGUUGAAACUCAAAGGAAUUGACGGGGGCCCGCACAAGCGGU
rnacentral:rRNA from 2 species